GCCAAACCCAGGGGAAGCCAGAGGCGCAGGAGCCUGGCAAUGGCAAGCUGAGAAGGGCAAGAGGAGCUGAACCCAAGAUAAAUCCCUCUGUGGCUGUGGAAUUUGACUUGAAGGGGAGCAGAGGAUUCGGCCAGCCAUGAGGAAGAGGAUGGUGUUGCUGCAGGCAGUGUGUGUCCCCCGUGACUCUGCACUGCCCCUCAGGGCAAGAGGACUGGUUUUCUCUGGUACUGUGCAUCUGCUGCAUAGGAGCUGGACUCAGUGACAACAGAGGGACAUCGAUAUGAAGACAGCUAGAACCCCAAAAUGGCCUCCGUUGUCUCAAGGCUGAGAAGCAAAGCCAACAGCGCCCCCACCAGUCCUUCCAGGGGUCUCAGACUCAAGGAUCCUAUGGCGGACUUGUCACCACGCAGAGGGCUGCUGUCACCACCCGGAGUUUCUGCUCCAAUGAGUGAGGAGUGGCCCCCGGGGGACAUCAGUGCUGCCCUGUCAGGACAGCGCUGCAUCACGGGAAGGGACCGACGAGGGAGUGCAGGCCCCUGGGGACAUCUAGUUGGGUUCCAGCACAACAGAUGCGCCACGGAGAUGUCAUGGAGGCGGCCAGGUGGGUAUGAGUCUGGACGGUAUGGAAAGGUUUGGAAAGAACGAAUGAAUGUGAGUCAGGACGGUUCGAUGUCAUUAAAGCCACGACACUGAAGAGGUCAGCAAGGGGAUGAGAUGCUAAGGAAGGAAAGUGGGUGUUCUGCGGGGUGUGUGGUGGCUGCUGGCCCUACGGUGAGCAGACAGAGCCUGUGUGGGGCAGUGCCAUGGAGGGGCAGCCGUCCUCCAUGGAGCACGGCCUUGGGCUGCUCCUUGGGCAGCUGGGUGAGAGGGUGCUGGAGCCGUCGCCCAGUGACCUGUGUCUACAACUCACUUUGCACAGCCUCCAGUGAGAGACAGGUGUGUCUGCCUGUCAUGGGCUUAUAGACGGGUCUUUUAUUUAUGCUCAGACUCAUUCAGUCCCUUAGAAGUCGUUUUUAUGUAAGACAUGAAAGGCAGCUUGCGGAAACUCCCUGGCUGCACAGAUCGCAGAGAAAUGCCAACUCAUUGGCAAGCUUAGUGCAGCCAAGAAGGAGCAUGCAGUGGCUGAGAUGUCUCUAGGGAAUGCCCGACUAGGGAAAGGGCCACUCAACAGACCCAGCCUUGCAGACGCUUGAGGAAAGGUGGUGAAGGCCAACUCGAUGCUGGAGGAAUUAACUUCUGUGGUUCAAGAACUGAACGAAGAGAGAGCCCAGCACCCACGGCUGGUGUUGUGGAGAUGGUGACAGCAAAGCUGCUGGAAGAGGUCCUGAGAACCGCCACACCCCAUGGAGCUUUUCCCAACCUGCCUGGAGGCCAGGAGCCAAGCCCUGCUGGUGCCUUCCCCCGGAGCACUGCUGUUCCCUCCCCUCCACUCGGGCUCCCAGCUGCCCGGCUGCCUUGGCGACCCCACCCCACCUGACCAUCACUGAGGCAAGUGGGUGCAGGGGAGCCCCUCCCUGCACUGGCGUUCCUUGAGCUCCACGUGCUGGGCUUGGCAGUGAGCUCCUUUGUGGAUCACUUCUCCAAAUCUAAAGAAUAUUAGACUUCC